UGCAGUGUUUCUGUGUUUCUAUGUUGUUGUGUUUUGGGCUAAUGCUGUUGUGUUCUUGGCUGAUGUUGUGGUGUGAACCAAUGCUGUUGUGUUGUCACUUAUUGUUGUGGUGUUGUAAGUAGUUGCUUGUUUUUUGAAAUGCAGCGUUUUUAUAAAUGUUUCAUUUUUGUUAAUGUCGUUGUGUUGUGUGCUAAUAAUGUUGUUGUGUUUUCAACUUUUGUUUGCUUCGCUAUUGUUGUUGUGUUGUGCACCCGUGGGCCACUGUAGGUAUAGGAUGUGAAAUAUUUUUUAUAUUUCAUACUGUAUAUAAUCUCUAAAAAACAACUGGAAAGUAGAAAUGGUGGUGAGGGACACUAUAUUCGAAAGCUAAUUCAAAUGAUCAUUCAUCAUGCUCAAUUCAAUGUCGCAUUUCGGUCUGUGCUUGUGGCAUAUUAUUGGUCCUUCAAGAAACAAACUGCACUUAAGCCCUUUUAUCGCUCUUCCUUUUCAACAUCCACAUCUCUGUUGUCUGUAGAUUACAAUAUGUAUUUAAUUCUACUUGUCUCUUCAUUCAUUCAUUGAACUUGUAGGGUUUCACCAAACAGAAAACAAAGUCUUAAAAGGGAAUUUGGCCAACUGUACUUCUCCUUUGUGUAUCAAACCCAGCAUUAUGUGGAAUAAAAACUUGAUAAAAGCUAAAUCAACUGACUUUUUACCAGUGAUAGUUAACAUGCAAUGACUCUAAUCGGCAGAUAUAUCCUGUGUGGGAUUUAAGAUUACAAUUUAAAACUCCAAAAGGUAUGAAAUAUAAAAUGACAAUUGAGGCAUUGACAAACUUUUAAAAAAAGCAUUAAGACCUUGUUGUUUGUCACAGAGCCUGUAUUUGUGUUGUAGCAAGUGUCAGAUGUCUCAGUUCUAAAAUACUAUAUUUCUGACUUGCCUCACAGUGUGGUUGUUAAUGUCAUGGUUUACUGGUUAGGGCACAUCAUAUUUUAUACCAAAGAUAAAAGCAGAGAGGCAAAAUACUGCCUUACUGAAAUAAAUGUUUGUUUGAAUUAAAUAUAGAUAGUUUGAGUGGGUAUAGAAUCUUUAUGUCAUCAUCAUCUAUAGCUUUAUUUUUGCUAAAGGAAGAGUUACACAGUUUCCGCUGAAAGGUUGCUAUUCUCUGCCUUUUGUGAAUUUUACUGGUUGGUAGUGCCGUAGUUACAGUGGGUAUGUGCUCCAACUACCUGGUGUUUGGGCAGGUGAAAGGCACCAUUAGAGGCAAUAUGAAAAAGGUUGUUUGGAUGAGCCUUUCAGAAAAAAUGUGAGCACUUUAAUACUCAGUCAUAUUUUGUAUUGAUUGUAUGAUGUACAUUGAUUGUGUUUUUGAAUUAAAAUGUGUAAAAACAAUAUUUACAGAGCUAAUGUUGUACGCUGUUUUUGAAUUACCUCUCAUGGAAGUUUAAAAAACACUUACUUUCAUUGAUUAUUUAUCUCAUUAUGUAUAUCUUCAGUGGAUUAGAAAUUGAUCUUUUUAUGAAUCUGCUUCUUGCUACAUGUUUGAGUGCAAGUAUUUGCAAUAGGGUGUGACCUACCUAACUCAUAUCACUCCAUGUUUAUAGGCUGGUCAAUUAUGUAAACUUGGAUUUGAAAGGAAGAUGUUUUCCAAUUUCUAAUGUUCCUCAUUCUAUUGUGAAAAAGACAAUAAAUCUAUUAUUGUACUGUA